UUGGUAUUGUGGUUAUGUGUUUGGCAUGUUAAGGUCGUAGGUUUGUCUAUUUGUGGACCGAUAAUUUUGUUGGGUAUGGGAUUGUAAGUAACCGGUCUGGUAAUUUUGUGGGGGUUAAAUGUUGAAUCUUCUUACGUGUAAGUGACUUGGUGUGGGUCGUAUAAGUACAUAUUCUCGGCGAGGAACUCAAAUCCAACCGAU
rnacentral:lncRNA from 1 species